rnacentral:rRNA from 1 species
GACGAACGCUGGCGGCGUGCCUAAUACAUGCAAGUAGAACGCUGAAGAGAGGAGCUUGCUCUUCUUUGAUGAGUUGCGAACGGGUGAGUAACGCGUAGGUAACCUGCCUUGUAGCGGGGGAUAACUAUUGGAAACGAUAGCUAAUACCACAGAACAAUGGAUGACACAUUUCAUUUAUGUGAAAGGGGCAGUUGCUCCACUACAAGAUGGACCUGCGUUGUAUUAGCUAGUAGGUGAGGUAAUGGCUCACCUAGGCGUCGUAACAUAGCGGACCUGAGAGGGUGGUCGGCCACACUGGGAGUGAGACACGGCCCAGAGGCCUACGGGAGGCAGCAGGAGUGAAUCGGGGGCAAUGGGGGCAAACCUGACCGAGAAACGCCGAGUGAGUGAAGAAGGUUGUCGGAUCGGAAAGCUCUGUUGUAAGUCAAGAACGGGUGUGAGAGUGUAAAGUUCACACUGUGACGGUAGCGGAUCAGAAAGCGACGGCUAACUACGUG